CGUAUAUUAAAGUUGUUGCGGUUAAAAAGCUCGUAGUUGGUUCUGCGUGCCGCGCUGUCGGUUCGCCGCCUGUCGGUGUAACUGGCAUGUCGCGGCAUGUCCUGUCGGUGGUGAACGGAGUCCACAAUGCUACAUAGGCUUUAUAGCCGAUGUUAGCGUCGUGUGUACUUCCGUUGGCCGAUCUCUCCUACUUCGGUGCUCUUAAACGAGUGUCGAGGUAGGCCGACACGUUCACUUUGAACAAAUUAGAGUGCUUAAAGCAGGCUGAAAUAUCUGCCUGAAUAGUGGUGCAUGGAAUGAUAAAACAGGACCUCGGUUCUAUUUUGUUGGUUUUAGGAAUAUGAGGUAAUGAUCAAUGUGGACWGGCGGGGGCAUUCGUAUUGCGACGUUAGAGGUGAAAUUCUUGGAUCGUCGCAAGACGCACUAGAGCGAAAGCAUUUGCCAAGUAUGUCUUAAUUGAUCAAGAACGAAAGUUAGAGGUUCGAAGGCGAUCAGAUACCGCCCUAGUUCUAACCAUAAACGAUGCCAGCCAGCGAUCCGCCGAUGUUCCUUUAAUGACUCGGCGGGGAGCUUCCACCCGGGAAACCAAAGCUUUUGGGUUCCGGGGGAAGUAUGGUUGCAAAG
rnacentral:rRNA from 1 species